UACGAAGGGGGCGAGCGUUAUUCGGAAUUAUUGGGCGUAAAGGGCGCGUAGGCGGCCCGGUAAGUCAGUGCUGAAAUAUCCCGGCUUAACCGGGAGGGUGGCAUUGAUACUGCAGGGCUUGAGUAAAGUUGAGGUUGGCGGAAUUGACGGUGUAGCGGUGAAAUGCUUAGAUAUCGUCAAGAACACCGAUAGUGAAGACAGCUAACUAAGCUCAAACUGACGCUGAGGCACGAAAGUGUGGGGAUCAAACAGG
rnacentral:rRNA from 1 species